rnacentral:rRNA from 1 species
GACGAACGCUGGCGGCGUGCUUAACACAUGCAAGUCGAACGGAAAGGCCCUGCUUUUGUGGGGUGCUCGAGUGGCGAACGGGUGAGUAACACGUGAGUAACCUGCCCUUGAUUUUGGGAUAACUUCAGGAAACUGGGGCUAAUACCGGAUAGGAGCUCCUGCUGCAUGGUGGGGGUUGGAAAGUUUCGGCGGUUGGGGAUGGACUCGCGGCUUAUGAGCUUGUUGGUUGGGUAGUGGCUUACCAAGGCUUUGACGGGUAGCCGGCCUGAGAGGGUGACCGGCCACAUUGGGACUGAGAUACGGCCCAGACUCCUACGGGAGGCAGCAGUGGGGAAUAUUGCACAAUGGGCGGAAGCCUGAUGCAGCAACGCCGCGUGCGGGAUGACGGCCUUCGGGUUGUAAACCGCUUUCGCCUGUGACGAAGCGUGGGUGACGGUAAUGGGUAAAGAAGCACCGGCUAACUACGUG